AUGAAGUUAAGAGGAUCGAGAGUAAAGCAGGCCGACUCUGGUUCACCAGGGACCUUCAGUGCGCCUGUUAGGAAGAAAAGAGGGACAAGAGCACCUCCAUCUUCUAGAUGUUUACGUGGUAAAAAGGAUGAUAAUGUCAUGAGCAGUGAUGACGCUAUCACAGAAGAAGGCCAUGCUGCCUCUCCUUCAAGCAGGAAGGCAAAAGAACAAAAUCAUGGAGAGAUAGCUGUUGGAAGCUCAGCUGAUCCCACAGCCCAGAGUGUCUCUGUAAAUGAAGCACGUGAAAACUCGAGGGCAUUGAAAAAUACUUCUAAUGUGCAAACAACUGCUGUUAAGAAGACUACUGCUGAGGAUAAAACUUCUCGAGCAAUCAUGGAUGAUCAGGUUUUUAAUGCAGAAAUGGAUUCCACGUCUUCAGAUGAUGAGAGUGCCGAAGAAGUUGAGGAUGUGAAAGUUUGUGACAUAUGUGGAGAUGUUGGUGAUGAGGUGAAGCUCGCUGUUUGCAAUAGAUGCAACGAUGGUGCUGAGCAUACUUAUUGUAUGCGGGAGAUGAUGGAAAAGGUUCCGGAUGGUGAGUGGUUUUGUGAAGAGUGCCAAACUGAAGUAGAAUAUGAAAAGGAGAAGUUAGAAAAACCUGAGGUGAGGCUUGUCACUUCAAAGGAAGAGUCUGUUCAAGGGAAAAUCAGUAAACCUUUCAAUGAUGCAAACAGCAGAAGUCCUUGUGAGAAUGAAGUGGAGGAUGAAACUGUUGGCAGAAAAGAACGGAAUGAAGCAAAUCAAGGCAUUCGUAUGGUUGAAGAUGCAAAGAUUCCGCCUGUGGCUAAACAAAAUAUUCCUGAACCUGGUGGUUCAUCAAUGGAGUCUUACUCCAGAAAAGGAGUACCUCUGCUACGCGAGAGCUCAUUCAGGUUGGAUAUAGAGAAAGGAAAGCAACCUACUCCCCAAGCGCCAAUCUUACUGGGGUUUAAUGCUAGCAAGAAUCAGGCACCACCACUUACUGGUCAACUCUCCAAGUCCACUUCUUUCAACAACUCUAAGGUGCCCAAGGUGAAGCAACUAGUGAAUGAAGUUCCUCAGAAGACCAAAACUUUGAAGGAUCAGUUGUCCUGUAGUAUGAGAAAAGAGGGGCCAACGAGCUUUUCAACUAAGUCAGCAUCAUUCAAAAAGCCCAAAACUUGUGAGCCAGCAAAUAAGGCAAAGUCUUCCAUCAUACCACCUGCCGAGGAGCUAAGUGUGAUGAAUUUACCAGUGAGCCGAAAUGUAAGUAAUGAUAGAGGCACUUCUAUAUUAGGAUGCCCCUCAAUUACUGGACCACUGGCUUUUCCAGUUCAAUCAAAAGCAGAAUCUGCAGCUCAGCGCCUCACUACAGGAAACAACAUGUCUGCCUCUAGCAAUUCAGGCCAUUUUACCCAAUUUUGUGGUGUUGAUAAAUUAGGUUUGUCUGCAAUGAAACCUCUGAGUGAGCGAAACUUGAAGGAUGCCUCUGCCAAAAGGAAUAAAACGUCUGAAGCUACUGAGAAAGCUACUUCCAGAUCAGCAGAUCAAUCUGAUCGCAUCCUCAAAUGUGGUCCUUAUCAUGACCCAGUGUACAGGCCUAAAGAUACGUCAUCUGGAAGAUCUGUUCCCAGCAGUUCUACUAUAUCAAGUGAUCCGAUGGACAAAUCAAGUCGAGGCUUUUCACCCCUUGAUAAAGCAAUAGUUUCAACUGUUCCAGAGUUGGAUUAUAUUUGGCAGGGUGAUUUUGAGCUGUGGAGGACUGGAAGAUCACCUGAGCUAUGUGAUGGCUUUCAAGCUCACUUAUCAUGUUCUGCUUCACCAAAAGUGCUGGAAGUAGCAAAAAAAUUCCCUUCCAGAGUCCAGCUUGAAGAACUGCCUCGUCGAAACUCAUGGCCCACACAGUUUCAACAAAAUGGACCCACAUAUGAGAAUAUUGGUGUUUUCUUCUUUGCUAGAGAUGCUCAGAGCUAUGAACAUCAUUACAGUAAAUUGGUUCAGAAUAUGCUAAUCAAUGAUUUGGCACUCAGAGGAAAUAUCGAAACAGCUGAAUUAAUUAUAUUCCCUUCUAACAUCCUAUCAAAGAACUCUCAAAGAUGGAACAUGUUUUAUUUUCUAUGGGGUGUGUUUAAAGUGAAAAGAGAAGAUCACUGGAACCUUCCACUUGAUGUACCAAUAAGUAAAUGUGAACCUAAUUUGAAUGAGGAUCCCCUGACUGUGGAUCCGCAUACCUCUGUUUUGUCCUCUAGCCGUUCAUUGUCUGAAGACCAAAAUAAUGCCGCUGACCCUGCCUGCUAUUUGGUUAAGUCAGCUACUUCUGCAGACCAUCAAUGUUUGCAAACUUCGGAAGCUAAUCGUCAGGGAUGUUCAAAUGGAGAUAACUCUUCGGCCCAGGCUGUGGGCGGAAGAGAUUUGGAAGAUCACUGUCAUGAUUCAAGUAUGACAUGUUGUUUAACAAAUAACAGGAGGGCAAUAAAUGAUUUUUCCACUGCUCCGGCAGGAAAACAGAAGAUAAUUGUAUAUCCAGACUCUCAAAAGAAAAUGUGCGAUGGUGGCAAUGUUGUCGAACCCAUUUUUGAUGUAAAUACGAUGCCAGUUACUUGCUCUAUCUCAUCAAUCCACAAACAAGAUAAUCAGAACAGAGCCAUCAACCUUAACAAUGCAGAGAGCCUGAUGGAUGUAGAUCAUGCAAAUAAUAUUGAACUGAACUCAGAUACAGUGGAUCUUGUUUCACAUGCAUCACGUAGUGCACAAAAAAGAAAUGUGGAUAUGGCAAACUGGACUGACGGAGCCAAUGGAUCAGUAGACAAGAAAAUUAAAUUGGAUAAUGUAUCGUCCACUGUGGAGUCUAGUUUAAGUGGGAAGGUCAGAGAUGGAAGGUUAUCAUCCAAGGUACACCCUCUAGCAGCUUUACCUGUUCAUGAUUGCACUGACAAUAAGACCAUGGCAGGAAUCUCGAAGAGUAAUGGAAAGUGCACAUUUCCACUAGAUCUAAACGUGGUGGAUGAUGCAGAUAUAGACAUGGUGGAUGAUGCAGCGACUGGAAAUAGCAUAACCGGUCUGUCUGAAGAUUUACCUGAACAGAACACACAAGAUCUUAAGCCAGCACCGGGGGACAACAUAUCUUCUAGAAAGCCCAUGGUUGAAGAAAAGUUGAAUAAAGGAGAUACACAGCCUACUGAUAUGUCAGGCGCGCUCUCCCUCUCCCUCGCAUUUCCAGCAUCAAAGGAACAAUAG
rnacentral:rRNA from 1 species